rnacentral:lncRNA from 1 species
AAUACAACAACAAAAUUCCUAACUUAAACUUACAGCGCAAACACCUAAGACGGACCACAAAAGGAAGAUAUGACACACACUGGCGCU